AAGUCGUAACAAGGUUUCCGUAGGUGAACCUGCGGAAGGAUCAUUAACACUAAUGAAAUCCAAAACCUUUUGGAUCAACCCAACCUUAGCGAACCGUUCGUUUUUUCCCUUUGCCAUUUUAUUAAACGCAAAACAAAUCUGAUGUAAAGUGUCUGAUUCUUAUUCCCGUUUACCCUCUCAAGGGUCAGCUGGAAUCAAAAAUCUAACGCAAUACAACUCUUAACAACGGAUAUCUUGGCUCUC
rnacentral:misc_RNA from 1 species